rnacentral:rRNA from 1 species
GUUCUCAGUUCGGAUCGGAGUCUGCAACCCGACUCCGUGAAGCUGGAUUCGCUAGUAAUCGCGCAUCAGCCACGGCGCGGUGAAUACGUUCCCGGGCCUUGUACACACCGCCCGUCAAGCCAUGAAAGCCGGGGGGUACCUGAAGUGCGUAACCGCGAGGAGCGCCCUAGGGUAAAACUGGUGAUUGGGGCUAAGUCGUAACAAGGUAUC